rnacentral:lncRNA from 1 species
AUGGGGAGUAACACCAUGUGAAGACAGAGGUGGAGAUUGGAGGGGUGCAUGUACCAACCAAAGGAAUAUCAAGGGCUGGCAGCAGCACUAGAGCAAGCGAAAGGCAUGAAACAGAUUCUCCCCUAGAGCUGUAAGAGGCAGUGUGGCCCUGGCAACACCUUGCUUUAGGACUUCUAACCUCUAGAAUAAUGAGAUAAUGAGAGUAUAUUUCUGUUGGUUUCGGCCAUGCGGUUUGUGGUAACUGGUUCCAGCAGCCCUAGGAAUCUAAUACACUGCCCAUGGAACAAAUCCUUUCUUGACCACCAAUGGCUGCAUGACUUAUCCUGAGAAGAUCAUGGGGAUUUUGGAUGCCAGGUCAACCCUUACACUCAGCAAGGAAGUGGAAGGGCCUCAGUUUCAAACACUUUGUAAACACAGAGAUAAGGUCGUCCCUCUGUCACCCAGCCUGGAGUGUAGUGGUGCCGCCAGGCCUCACUGCAACCUCCAACUCCUGGGCUCAAGUGAUCCUCCAACCACAGCCUCCUGACUAGCUGGGAUUACAGGUUAUUUUGAGGAUCAAGUGAAACUUAGAAACAAUAACAACAAAAAAAGCAAAGUCUGUGAUCAAGAAGAAUUACUCUGUUGCAACAAUAUAAACUAAGAAAAAAAUACGCAAAAUUCUCUGCUGCCUUGGGAGAUGAUCUCAUGAUGUGUAUCAUUUACUUUUAAUAUUUUUAUUUAUUUAUUUUUGAGACGGAGUCUCGCUCUGUCGCCCAGGCUGGAGUGCAGUGGCGUGAUCUCGGCUCACUGCAACCUUCGCCUCCCGGGCUCAAGUGAUUCUCCUGCUUCAGCCUCCUGAGUAGCUGGGAUUAUAGGCAUGUGCCGCCAUGCCUGCCU